GAUGAACGCUAGCUACAGGCUUAACACAUGCAAGUCGCGGGGCAGCAUGGGGGUUGCUUGCAAUCCCCGAUGGCGACCGGCGCACGGGUGAGUAACGCGUAUCCAACCUGCCCUUCACCACGGGAUAACCCGGCGAAAGUCGGACUAAUACCGUAUGUUGUCCAUUGACGGCAUCCGAUUUGGACGAAAGGUUUGGCGGUGAAGGAUGGGGAUGCGUCCGAUUAGCUGGACGGCGGGGUGACGGCCGACCGUGGCGACGAUCGGUAGGGGUUCUGAGAGGAAGGUCCCCCACACUGGAACUGAGACACGGUCCAGACUCCUACGGGAGGCAGCAGUGAGGAAUAUUGGUCAAUGGGCGUAAGCCUGAACCAGCCAAGUAGCGUGCAGGAUGACGGCCCUAUGGGUUGUAAACUGCUUUUAUGCGGGGAUAAAGUGGCCCACGUGUGGGUUUUUGCAGGUACCGCAUGAAUAAGGACCGGCUAAUUCCGUG
rnacentral:rRNA from 1 species